rnacentral:rRNA from 1 species
CACGAAAGUUCUUCUGUUUUAAAAAAACACUCAAGGAAAUUGAAUUUGUAGUGAAGAUGCUACAUUAAAAUGGUUAGACGAGAAGUCCCCAUGGAGCUUUACUGAAAGCCCAAAAGAAAUUUUUUUAUUUAUUUAUAGGCUAGACAGUUUUGUUGGGGUGAUAGUUUUUUAAAAAGUAACGAAAACGAACUAUGACGCAUGUUUCACUCUGAAAACUUGAAGAGACAUUUGGGGUGUGUUUUAUGAUCUAUUGUUUUGAAUGAAAAAGAUAAUGAAAGCA